UCAUGUGGAACUGAGCCCUUAACCUGUGGGGUCUUCACUAAUUCUGGAAGUAACUGUUAAAACUGUAGGACACUGAGUUGGUGUCUGCAGAGAACAGGAGAAUCGUGUGAAAACCAACACAUUUGGUAUCAACGGUCUUAUGAAAAGCAGUUUUUCUUUACUACCAAUAACAGCCUCAUUCAUCUGACUGUGAGGACAUUUGAGUAUCUCUGGGCCUGCAUGGGUGCUUAUGAAGAUUUGGAGUUGGCUGGUCAUGCUAGGAGCAUGAUGGGUGCCUGGAAAGGUCAAAGACUUCAGGAGAGUCAGCUGCCUACACAACGAAAUCCAGGCUCCUUCGAUUAAGGACCUCACAAUAUCACUUCAUUCCCUGUGUUUGUCAAGCACAUUAUGUGGCAAACUCUCCAUUUCCAAAACAUGCCUUCCUUGGUCAUAUAUCAUCUGAUAGAAUGAUCAAAAGGAAUAAAAACCCAUAGAAACCAUCUAUGAAAAAUGAA